rnacentral:lncRNA from 1 species
AUGCCGGAUCCUUAACCCAGUGAGUGAGGCAAGGGAUUGAACACACAUCCUCAUGGAUACUAGUCAGGUUUGUUAACCACUCACUGAGCCACGAAGGGAACUCCAUUAUUAUUUUCUUUUUUUAAAAUUAUAACCAUACUAGUGGGUGUGGGCAGGUUCUUAAUAAGCACUGAUGAACAGGGCCUAAGUAUAUGAACUUCUUAUCUACAGACCAAAAUGGAUGAGGAAAAUUUGAACAGGCUUAUGAAUUAGUCAACAAUCUUUUGACAUAUUUCUCCAUGAGAUUAAAUUUUAUCCCAGUGAUCUGAAGGAGGAAAUGAUUACCUAAGACCUACCUCUGCAUUACUGCCAGUGUGACAAGAAAGAAAAUGUACCCAUAUUGGAUGAAAUGCCCAGUGAACUAAUAGGUUUGCAACUAAGGCAGGUGGAGAUUUUACCUUCCUUUUCCUAGUUCUGAUUGUGUUAAGACCUUGCCCUUGGCAAGGGUGGGAUCCCAUCAUUUAGACCAGGGGGUUUAAGAAUUUUCUAGGACAGGAAGGCUUCCCUGGUUCUUAUCAGCUUGUGUGACUUGAAUUAUUUUUCCAAGAUAGGAAUCCAUUUGCUUUGGGUAUGUAAACCUGGAAAUUGACUUCCAAAUGGCACUUUGUCCUCCCAAUGCUGCUUCUUAGGUUUGAGUCUCAUUUAACUAUGACCAAGGACAAACCUUUGUAGACUCAGUCAGUACCCUGAGAAUUGAUAAUAAAACCUAUUGGGGCAAAGAGACACUGUGAGGAUAAGAUGUCCCUUACUUAAGAUUAUGGGGACUAAGAAUGAGAAAAGAUUGCAGCUUCCAUGGCUAACUUUGGCUUUACAAGAAGACAGUCUCCUAAGAACCAAGACAAAGUGUAUCGGUUAGCUAGAGCUGUGUAACAAAGCACCAUACACUGGAUGGCUUAAAACAAUAGAAAUUUUUUUUGUCAUACAGUUCCGAGGUUAGAAGUCCAAAAUCCAUUUGUGGACAGAGCCAUGCUCCUUCUAAAACCUGUUGUGGAGAAUUCUUCCUUGUCUCUCCUAGCUUCCAAUGUGUGCUGUCAGGUCUUGAUGUUCCCUGGCUUAUUGAUGCAUCACUCCAAUCUUUGUUUUGUGGUCACAUGGCCGUCUUCUCCCUUCACACAUUUUUCUCCCUGUGUGUCUCCUCUUCUUACAAAGACAUUGGAUUAAUGGAGUCCCAACUGUGGUGUAGUGGUUUAAGGAUCCUGCGUUGUCUCUGCAGUGGCUCUGGUUACUGUUGAGGUGCAGGUUCAAUCCCCAGACCAUGAACUUCCAUAUACCACUGGUGUAGCUGAAGAAAAGAGACAUUGGAUUAAUGACACACCCUACUCCACUAUGACCUCAUCUUAACUGUUAUACCUGCAACAAAUAUUUUUUUUUUCCAAAUAAGGUCACAUUCCGAGGUACCAGGGGUUAAGACUUUGCCAUAUUUUUUUUGGGGGGGGGGUCAAGGACACAGUUCAGCCCAUAACAUAAGGGAAAGUGGCAAACAGGGCCAAGUGGUGGACAGAAACAGACAUGACCCUAAUGUGGCUGUUUGAGCCCAAAGAUCUAACUGUAUCUGAAACUGGUGAGACCCAUACUGGACUUCUUAUGCUACUUACAGAAAAAGUUUUCCUUUUUUGGACAAUAAGCUCAUUUGAGUUGGAUUUCUGUAUUUGGAGCAGAAAGGGUUCUAAAUGGCAAGGCAUCUUUCAGAUUUCUACUUAAAUAUCUCUUUUUCAGAUCGGUUUUCCCUGCUUCCCCAAUCUAUGUUAUAUUCCCUACUCUACACUCUAUAGCACUGUGUAGAUGGCUGGUUUAAUGACUAUCUCCCUCAUGAGAUGGUGUGAAAGUUAUGAGAAAGGAACUUUAUUUCUUACUAAGCAGGCAAUGCUACCCUCUACAUGGAGAGGAAAAUAGGGUAGGAAUCAAAUGGCUUGCAAGUAAUAGUAAAUUUUGUUUCUUAGUUUUUCGGAAAUCCUUUUUUUGUGCUUUCUUUAAGAAGAGAAUAUCUAUCUUUAAAAAUACAGUAAAAAAAAUGUCUAUAGACAAGCCAAGCCAAUUCUAAUUUCAGGUGCUAAAUACGGAUGCUUGCAUGAUAAUUUCCCCAAUACUCCCUGUUAAUUCCCAUUUUGCGAUAGUUUAAAUCCUUUGGAGAAUCCUGGGAGGUUUUCCCAGGAAUACAGGUUUGUGGAAGAGAGAGAACCAAGUAAGUAGUCUUUCUUGGCACAGGUGAUAUUACUGUUCAACAUGAGUAACCGAGAACUUAUAUUUCCUAAGGCAACAUCAUGUCUGAGCAUUAAUUUGAUUUCUGCAGCCUUGGAAAAAGCUUCUGCAGCCUAAAAUGGUUUUCACAAAGAGACCUUGGAGGGAUGAACCACGUUCUCUAAUUGGUUUAAGAGCUCACCCAAUAUGCCCCCUGUACCUUCGGGUUUGGCUGAAGCAGGCCCGCCACUGGACUGCUCCUUCAAGAUUGGCCGAGUCAGGCUCCCCAAGCCCUGUGCUUCCCUUUUGGGAUUGGCCAAAGCAGGCUCUCAUGCUCACUUCUGCUCUCUCAGGAUUGGCUGAGUCAUCCUCCAAGACCUAGUUGUACUCUCCCGGGAUUGGCUGAAUCAGCCUCUCCUUACCCUACGCUGCUCCCUUGGGAUUGGCUAGAGCAGGCUCUCACGCUCACUUCUGCUCUCUCUGGAUUGGCUGAGUAAUUCUCCAAGCUCCCAUUCUGCUCUCCCGGGAUUGGCUGAAUCAGGUCUCCGCGCCGUAUGCUGCUCCCUCGGGAUUGGCUAGAGCAGGCUCUCACGCUCGCUUCUGCUCUCUCAGGUUGGCUGAAUCAUUUUCCAUGCCCCCAUUCUGCUCUCUGGGGAUAUGCUGAGGCCGGCUUUCCAUUCUGUACAAUCCUCCCUCGAAAUUGGCUGACUUGCUGAAGUUCUUCCCACUUUCUCUUCAGCCGCUUUCAUGCCUCCUUCUUUCUGGCCCUCGCCGAUCAGCUAGUGGUGGAUCUCGGAGGCCAGUGGGAGGCUCAGCUCUGUGGAGAGAGCCUGGGAGUGACUGUGCAUGCUUUGCAUUCUUCCCAACUACUCUUGCACCUGGGGCUUGGGGCUGGUGUCCUCUCCUUGGAUCUACUCACUGACCGUAGAGAUGGGGAUCUGUAAGCAGCGUCCCCCUAACCUGGCCGAGGACUGGAUCCUUUCCACCUCUCCUACAGGCCCAGGUCAGGUCUGGAGGAGCCACCCCUGGCUGCUGGGCUGCCUCUCUGCCUCUGACGCUUGCCCUUGGACAUCAAUGGGACUCCAACCUAGAGUAACGGAGGAUCCUGCCCUCUAUGGGUUUGAAUCCAGCCUGGUAGCCUGAGUUUACCCACGACUCCACGUGCUUGCCUUUCCUUUCAAAGCCAGGCUGAGGGUUUUCCUUAACUUAACCAAGCGCCCUAGGACGCGCGGAUGCUUUUUUUGUGGUUCUGAAUUUCUGCCCUUUCUAAAGCUCUUCAAAAUUCUCCUGAGAAGCAAGAUGUCGCUCACAGAUACAGAGUCUUUGGGCUGAGAUCCAGCUUAUUCAGUAAAUGUGGAGAAAGGGCAUUAUGAGCAUGCUGUAGUCCACAAGGAGGAGGGCAGAGAAGGAGCUCUGGGAAGGUCCAAGUGGUUUUGCUCACGAAAUCAGUGCUUUGUUUUUCUCUCUUCCUUAAAGGUGAAGGAAAGAAAGUGAUACAGAUGCUUCUGUAACCUCACCAGCUUCUGUUCUCACUUUUUAGGUGUAAGAGGAGGGAAGAAGACAUCAUAAGAGUAUGGGCUCAUAUUUCCUCUCCUGUCCAUUCUGGAUGUCUGUCCUACCUCACGGUCAGAGAGAUGUGACCUCUUGGAUGGAGCUCCCAUAAGGUUUGCUGGAAGCAUGGUGGAACUGGUAGUUUUAUUAGUGGUAUGAAUCUGGUCUUAUGCUUACGAGCUGAACUUGAGAAGAAUAGUCACAGUUUCAUGACCUCUGCAGGUGACUCAGCCGCUAAAAACCUCCGUUUCCCCAUAUAGGUAGGGCAGCACAUCUACAUGAUAGGGUAAGUUACAUGUGUGAAGAGCUUGGUACAGUGUCUUGGGCUUUGCUGUGGUGACAAAUCGCUGACCUCAGAUUCUUCAUAGCUCAACACAAGCGUUAAGUUCUGGAGUUCCCGUCGUGGUGCAGUGGUUAAUGAAUCCGAUUAGGAACCAUGAGGUUUCGGGUUCGGUCCCUGCCCUUGCUCAGUGGGUUAAGGAUCCGGCAUUGCCAUGAGCUGUGCUGUAGGUUGCAGACGCGGCUCGGAUCCCCAGUUGCUGUGGCUCUGGCAUAGGCCGGUGGCUACAGCUCUGAUUGGACCCCUAGCCCGGGAACCUCCAUAUGCUGCAGAAGCGGCCCAAAGAAAUAGCAAAAAGACAAAUAUCAAAACAAAACAAAAAAACAAGUGUUAAGUUCUGUUCUUUCUUUUUUUCUUUUUUUUUUUUUUCUUUUUAUGGUCACACCUGUAUAUGGAAUUUCCUGAGCCAGGGGUUGAAUUGGAGCUGCAGCUGCGGCCACAGCCACAGCCACAGCCACGGCAAAAUGGAUCCAAACCACAUCUGCCACCUACCUAAUGCUACAGUUUGUGGCAACAAUGGAUACUUAACCCGCUGAGCCAGGCCAGGGAUUGAACAUGCAUCCUCCCAGAAACAACAUCAGGUCCUUAACCUGAUGAGCCGCAUCAGGAACUCCUUAGGUUCUGGUCUUGAUAAUGCCUCUGGUAUGGGCUGGCAAGGGACCCUCCACCCAGUCACUUGGAUACAAGGUAGACUGCUCAAGGCAGGAGGCUCUGCUUUCCUGAAGCUGUACUAUCAGCAACACAUGGCCUGAGAAGUUGCUGCCACCGAGCAGAAAGGAUGAAGAGAGUGUGAGGGCCAUGGUGUCUGUGUUAGCAUAGGCUGCUAUAACAAAUUACUGUAGACCGGAAACAUCACAUUUAUUUCUCACCAGUGGGAGCUGGAAGCCUGACAUCAGGGUGCCAGCAUGCUUGGGUUCUAGUGAGAGCCCUCUUCUGGGUUGCAGAUGACUGACUUCUCACUGUAUUGUACAACUAGCUCUCUGCCCUCUUCUUAAAAGGGCACCAAUCUCAUUCACGAGGCCUCCACCCUCAAACUCCAGUUAUCUCCCCAAAGCCCCACCCCCCUCCCAAUGCCACCACAUUGGGAUCAGGGUUUCAACCUAUGAAUUCUGGGGGAGCAUACACACCUAUAGUCAUUACUUUCUUACUUCUUGGUUUGUUUAUUCAUAACCAUCCUUAUUUCAAAGAAGCUUUGGGGGAGUUCCCAUUGUGUCUCAGCGGUAACGAACCCAACUAGUAUCCAUGAGGACAUGGGUUCGAUCCCUGGCCUAGCUCGGUGGUUAAGGAUCCUGUGAUGCUGUGAGCUGUGGUGUAGGCCGGCAGCUGCAGCUCCAGUUCAACCCCUGGCCUGGGAACUUCCAUAUGCCGUGG